rnacentral:rRNA from 1 species
GACGAACGCUGGCGGCGUGCUUAACACAUGCAAGUCGAACGGAAAGGCUCUGCUUUUGUGGGGUGCUCGAGUGGCGAACGGGUGAGUAACACGUGAGUAACCUGCCCUUGACUUUGGGAUAACUUCAGGAAACUGGGGCUAAUACCGGAUAGGAGCUCCUGCUGCUUGGUGGGGGUUGGAAAGUUUCGGCGGUUGGGGAUGGACUCGCGGCUUAUCAGCUUGUUGGUGGGGUAGUGGCUUACCAAGGCAUUGACGGGUAGCCGGCCUGAGAGGGUGACCGGCCACAUUGGGACUGAGAUACGGCCCAGACUCCUACGGGAGGCAGCAGUGGGGAAUAUUGCACAAUGGGCGGAAGCCUGAUGCAGCAACGCCGCGUGCGGGAUGACGGCCUUCGGGUUGUAAACCGCUUUCGCCUGUGACGAAGCGUGAGUGACGGUAAUGUGUAAAGAAGCACCGGCUAACUACGUG